UGGUGUAACGGUUAGCACUCUGGACUUUGAAUCCAGCGAUCCGAGUCAAAUCUCGG
rnacentral:tRNA from 1 species